rnacentral:rRNA from 1 species
AACAUCGACAUUUCGAACGCACAUUGCGGUCCACGGAUACGAUUCCCGGACCACGCCUGGCUGAGGGUCGUUUAUAAAACUAAACCAGACUGCUCGCGACUGCGCUUGUUCGCAGAAGCGAGCGAACACCUGGGCGUUCGUCUUGUGUGUGUCCCCACACGGUGGUGGUACAUACGGGGCGUCGCUCUAAAUGAGAAUAAAAAAGUUGUCUAUUCGAACGCGACGAGCGCGCGCAGACUAAGUUGCCUUGCACAGUGUCGAACGCUCGCACGCCGAUAGUUGAACGUGUCCGCGCGUUUGGCCGUCGAGUCCCGGAGCUCUUGCGUGCUUAGGCGCGCCGAGCGGACCGACGGCCUUGCCGCGCUGGCUUUCGGCGUGCGUUCUGUGCUACAAGGGCUACCUUUGCGCGGCGACUCUUGCACUUUGUUUUAUUAACAUACACGACGACCUCAGAGCAGGCGAGAC